rnacentral:tRNA from 1 species
AUUGGUUUAGUUUAUAUAAAAUGUUAUUUUGUGGUGAUAAAGAAAAUUAGGUUUAACCAGUA